GUGGCUGGCAACCAAGCAGAACCGUGCAGAGAACAACACCUUUGAUCCCGGCCAUAUGGAGCUCCUCCAAGCAUGCCUGGGAUAGAGAAAUCCGUCACCUCCACGCUGGGUGUAAAGGGUGCUGUAAUUGUAAUCAAGCUGAUGGAUGACAGGAUAAGGAGAUAAGGUCCGAUUUGGCACAGUCUUCCAACACAGGCGCCUCAGUGGCCGACGUGCAGAUCCCACAUCAAAGUAAGAGUGGAAAAAGUCUUGCGGGGAUGACCUGUUACACCAAACAACAAAUAAAAGACACAAGAGAGACAAAAAGAGGGAAUUGAUCGCGCCCCACGUUCGGUAGGUGGCAUCGGCCCGACAGCAUCGCUGUGAGCGAGACGUUCCUUUCGAGUUGUGUCUGUCUCAGCACCUUUGCCACCCAAAGCUCGGAGACGGUUUUAAUUGCAACACGACAACCACAAGAAACGCACAAAAUCCUCAUAAAACUAUAGGAGCUGGCUGCGUUCCCAAUGAGGGCAGCAAAUCGGGGCGUAAUUACAGGUGACAUUCUGCUGAUUUUAGAGAAGUCGGUUCGUGUCGACUCCACCCUGAGCCGUUCUUCUCCAGGACAUCUUCGCCUACAGGGCUACACGAGAGCCAGCGCAGUGUGUGGGAAAGCGUCCCUCCCUGCCCGUUCUCCAACAUGCCUCACAGCUAUUUCUACAGUUUGCAUAAUAACUGGCUACGUGUGGGGAUCUUUCUAGAAAGCGUAUCUUGGUAAGCGGAAUAGUGGAAGAUCUCUGGAGAUGCGUGGAGAUUCCACCAGGAGAUGGGAAAUCACAAAAUAACACUAAAAAAAGAACAAAACACUGGAGUCUUCCUGAUUUAACAAUACUUUGGGAAGUUUUCAAACGGAUGCUCACACAACUGCAUUUCAAUAAUCAAGGGAUUGAUAUGUGAAUGUAAAUUAUUUAAUUAGUCCCUAUGAGUAAUAUUCUUGCUUCUCUUGUGCAAACCAUUUUGGUUGAAAGCCUACAUUUCUUUUUUUUUUUACUUGUAUUUGUAUUGUUAUUCUUCAAAGCAAUAUCAACUAACACCCUGAAAAUCUAAA